CGUGGCAGGCAGGGGUGCUCACUCGUUCGGGUGGGCUGAGAUCAUACCCUUUGAACCUGAUCCGGUUCGCACCGGCGGAGGGAGCCAUGACGAAAGUCGA
rnacentral:ncRNA from 2 species